GAAUAUAUACAUACACCAACAUCUUCAUCAAAAAACAGAAUAUACACACACAGGAAGCUGAGAGAAAAACUCCAUGGAAGACGACACUCCCACAGGUGUAGACGCACACACACAUAGACGAUAAUACACACAUAGCUCACAAUUCAUCUCCUUCGUACGAAAACACACAAAAAUCACACCACAGAGAGAUUGAGAGAGAGAUCGUGAGGUAGAGAGAGAGUAAAAGAGUAAGAGUAGCGGAGAGAGAGGGAAAGAAACGGAGGGGGUUCGAGGGAGAUAUCGAGAGAAAGUAGUAAAUCGGCUCGAUUUUAGCGUCGCUCCGGCGAUACCCUUGCCGGAAGUCGACUCCCUUUUUCCGACUUGACCGACUAGCCUCAAAUCACCAAAAUUCCCUCAUUUUUCUGGGGGUUUUCCAAGAAAAUUUGAAUCGGAAACUUCUAAACUUCACGAAAAACGUUAAAGAUUAUCGAAAUUCGAUCCCUUUUCGGCUAUUCUUGCCAUUGUUUGGAUCUACCGGGGUUUUGACCAUGCAGUUUCUUCUGGUUUUAUCAUAUUUUAGUCUCGGGUAUUCAUCUGCGCUUUGUAGAUUUUUUCGUUCAAAUCAAAAUUUUGGUUAUCGUGUUCUUGGACUGUUUGUCGAUUGAUUUGGAGAGUCAAGACUUUGUUGGUAUUCUUCGAGGUUCUCGGGAAGGAUCUUAUUCUCUAUUAAGUCAAUCGAAAGCUCUUGAGGUCCAAUUCUACCUUUUCUUCUUCUAAUUUUAUGUGAUUAUGAAUGAUUUGUGUGGUUGGCAUGUUUGAAUCCCUGUUUGUUGUUUGUUUGAUGUUGGAUUUGGAGGUGAAAAUUUGAUUGAUGAAUGGCGUAUAGAAUUGGUUUAAUCAUGUGGUUAAAAAAAUGGAUUUGGGGAGUGAGGAUUGAAAAUUUGAUAAAAUAGUGAAUUUGGAUCAACUUUGGUUUAUUGUUGUUUUCGGAAUGAUUAUGAAUAUUGUUGGAAUGUGAUUAUGAUAUGUUGGAAUGGGUAGGCACGGCAAUAUUUAGGAAUAGGGUAUUUUAUGUUUGAAUGUGGAAUGUGUGUUGAAUAUUUUCUAGUUUAUCAUAUCUGAUUCGAGUGUAUUCAUUUGAUCGGGGAAUGCCCUGAGGUUUCAUGUAUUUAUUCACUGGAAAAUGCCCCAAAGUAUCAUAUACGCAAAGGAGGCUUGUGAUCAAGGCCCGAGGCAUCGGGUAAAAAAUUGGAGAGUAGUUUAAGAUUAGUGUAGGUUUACUUUUCAGUACCUUUUUCUUUUGGACUGUAUAAUUGGACUGGACACUCUAUUUAGGAUUCGUUUUGUUUGUGGUUGAUUGUUUUAUGUGUUUUUGUAUGGUUUAUACGUUCGUGAUGUCAAAUUAGUCAAUACGCUCCACCUAGCGACCGUGGUCGAACCAUAGGAUCAAGGGUGCCUAACACCUUCCCCUCCGUCAACAGAAUUCCUUAUCUGGAAUCUCUGUUCGCAGAUCAGUUUUAGAGUCAAAACCGUUUUGAAAAAGGAUUUUAAAAGGUGACUUGGCACACCCGAUUAUGCCAAGUGGCGACUCUGAGUUUUGAAUGUAAAAAUAAUUCUUUUUUGAAACAAUUAUCUUUAUUUUGUCACUUUAAUAAUAAAAAUCCUUUCGACCCUUAAAAUGAAUCUUUUGGUUAAAAAUGGGGGUGUGACAGCUCUGGCGACUCUGCUGGGGACCAUUUUAGAAUUCGAGUUUAUUUUUGAAGUUGUAUCGGCUUAGUUUGGCAUUAUGGGUGUAUAGACGUUUUUUCUGUUGUUUUGUGUUAUUGUCUUUUUCAUUGUUGAGUGCCUACAUGCUCUUUGUUUAUAGUUUUUAUCUUAUGUGUUACCACUUUAUAUCUGACAUCAUUUGUAUAACCCGAGUCAAUUCUUUCUGCAACAAGUCUCGGAGUGCACAUCGUGUACACGAAAUCUAGUUGAGUCACCCUUAUUUUAGGAGGGGGAGCCGUCGGACGUAUGGAGUGGGUGGAAAGUAAUCGCAGCCACUAUCGACCAUACGCUUCCCCGAACAACCUUGUUAAUGAACCCCAAUGUAGGUCAGCCUUUAGGUCAUGCUUAUGUGCAUCAUAUUGAGACCUAGUAGGGCCCAUUUGGGCCUUUGUAGGAGACUCACCUCUAAAUCAUCUCUAUGUGCUAAAUGUUGCAUCUUUGAGGGUAAUGUGGUCCUUUGACGGACUGAUUCGGGGAAGGCAUGUGUUAGAAGUAAGGUGUGUUUGAAAAAAAGAGAAAAAAACGUUAGUCAAAAAGGUUUUUGUAGCUUUUAGUGUUCUUUAUGGCUUUUGUUUUUCACAAUUCAAAAUUCAAAAAGUUUUUUUUUACCUUUUGCACUCAUUUUGUCAAAAACAAAAACAUCAAAAAGAUUUUCCUUUUGUUUCUUUGGUAAGCCUUCACAAUUCAAAAACUCCAAAAAAGUUUUUUUUUACAAUAAAAGAAAAUGCAACAAAAAAAGGAGAUGAUAGAAGUUUUGUACAUUUCAUAUAACAAAAAUACCAAAAUGAUUUUUCUUUCAUAGUUGUUGGUGUCAGUUUCAUGUGGAGUGUCAAAUUAAAAAUUCCCAAAAAGAUUUUAUUUCGUCGUUGUAGUUGUGUCCCUCAAGUCAAGGUUUAGUUAAUUCUUUAAUCCUUAACUGUCCAAUCUGGAUGAACAACGCACCCCUGAUUCUCCUCUCUCGUAAGUGAGUGAGAUACGUAGGCAGCCUAUUGCUGGUUCCGGGAUCCUAUUUAAAAAAUCCAAAAAGAUUUUCUUCACUCUUCAUUUAGAGUAGGUGUUUCAUACAUGUCUUGAAAAGAAAAAUACAAAAAAAAUAAAAAAAGAUUUUCCUCAAUAGUCAUAGGUUUCAUUUUUGGUUGAUCUUAUUUGAAAAAUUCAAAAAGAUUUUCUUCACUUUUUAUUUAGAGUAGGUGUUUCAUACAUAUCUUGAAAAGAAAAAUACAAAAAAAAAAAUAUUUUCCUCAAUAGUCGUAGUUUUCAUUUUUGGUUGAUCUUAUUUGAAAAAUCCAAAAAGAUUUUCUUCACUCUUUAUUUAGAGUAAGUAUUUCAUAUACAACUUUAAAAGAAAACUGCAAAAAGAUUUUCCUUUUAUAGGUUCAAGUUUUAUGUUCAUAUGAAAUUCAAAAUUGAAAACCCAAAAAAGAUUUAUCUUUGGUAAUCAUAGAUUUCAUUUUGUAUAAGGAUGUUAAAGAUGAAAAAUUCAAAAAGAUUUUCGUCAAUUCUUUUGAAAAAUUGUUAUUUUCUUUUCUUCUUAAAGUUUCAAGAAAAAAAAAAGAGUUUAAUUUGGCCAUUUUGGCAAGACUUCACGAACUACGCACACUUGAUUCUCCUCUCUCGGGGGCGAGAUACGUAGGCACCCUUCUCGGGUUUGGUGACCUUUUAAAAAAAAAAAGAGAUUUUGAGAAAGUGUUGAACUCUAAUGCAUUUUUAUCUCUUGUUCAGUUAGUUUGAGGUGGUUGGUUUGUGGUAUUUUGGCUGGUCCUCCAUAUUGCACCAAGUCACAGAGAAGGUUAUGGCCAACAAGGAUACCGAGUUUUUUGUCACUAAUCAGAUAGGGAGUUCAGGAAAUGAGAAUUUAGGAGCUAAUGAAGAGAUUCGAAAAUUGAGGCAGUAAAUGAUAAAAAUGCAUCGAGCUUGGGCUAAUGGGUUGUCGCCUCCUCCAGUUCACUCUAAUAAUCUGGAAUAUCUUUCUAGCUUGCCUCCCGUGUCACAUGCACAAUUUCUCUUUUUUUUUUAUAUGUCACAACAUGCAUCAGGAUCGACUUGGAAACAAUAUCCAACCACUUUCAAUGUUCAUUUCCUCACUCCUCAAUCCAAGACUACCACAUACUCGGCACCACCUGUUGUUCAUGGUUUUGCAGCGCCACCCCCACCUGAAGCUCCUACUUUUGAUGUUCAUCUACAAGUUGUGCCUCCUUACUCUACAAGAGAGCUUGCAUUGGAUAUUACUAGGGAUCAGCGUUACACUUUCGAGCCUGCACUCAAGUUGACUAGUAUUUACGGUGACACUCUCCCGCCUAAAUUUUCUCCUAACACUGAGAAUCUUGUUCUGACAGAAGAACAAGAGGAAAUGAACAGAAAAUUGAUAAGUUUGGAACUGGCUAUGAAGAACUUGUAAGGACUUGGGGGUUACAAAAGUGUCUCAUAUAAGGACUUAUGCAUGUUUCCAGGUGUCAACCUUCCUCCUGGCUUUAAAAUGCCAAAUUUUUGAGAAAUAUGACGGACAUGGGGACCCAGUGGCACAUUUGAGGUGUUAUUGUAACCAAUUAAGAGGCGUUGGAGGGAAGGAAAAACUACUCAUGGCUUAUUUUAGGGAAAGUCUUUCAAGCCUAGUUUCGGAAUAGUUUGUUGACCAAGACAUCGACAAGUGGAAUAGUUGGGAUGAACUGGCUAAUGAAUUCGUACAACAAUUCCAAUAUAAUAUAGAAUUGAUUCCUGACGAGAAGUUCCUAACUAAUAUGAAGAAAAAGAGUAUUGAAACUUUUAGAGAGUAUACGAUUAAAUGGAGUGAACAAGCUGCUAGGGUGAAACCACCAAUGAAAGAAAAUAAGAUAGUGGAGGUGUUUAUUCAAGCAUAGGAUGAAACUUAUUAUUAACACGUGUUACCUGCAUUAGGCAAGCCAUUUAUUGAGGUUCUCAAAAUGAGGGAUAUGGUAGAGGACGGAAUUAAGACCGGUGCAUUGUGAGUUUAGCAACAUUGAAAGUGACUACUCAAGCAAUUCAAAAAGGUUUGGGAAGUGUCAGAGGGAAGAAGUAUGAGAAAUAUACAUCUGCCAUUGUAGUUGGACAACAAGAAAGGGCAAGAGGACCACGCCAUCGUUACCCAAAGGCUCAAACCCAAGUUUAUGCCCAAGCUCCACAAAAUCUUUCCCAAAAUCCAUUACACUCCAUUCCCCUACCUCCAUAUCAAGUGUAUAAUGCAUAACCAUAUGUUCAACCCCCAUCUUACCCACACGGCUGCGCACCAACUCUGCCGAGUCAUCCUCCAACUCCACAUACAUACCGAAGCCCUUCUAGACCUGGUUUUUAAUUUAAUCCAAAUAAUGAAAUGAGACAGCAGUCGAGGGAUAGUUUCACACCAAUCGAAGAGCCAUAUGCCAUUUUAUCUCAGAGAUUUGUACAGCGGGGCAUGAUCACUCCUCUCCUGGGGUAUACUCCGGACCCGCAUUCAAGAAAUUUUGAUCCUAAUGUACAAUGUGCAUAUCAUUCUAAUGUUCAGGGUCACAAUAUUGAAGAUUGUCAUUCCUUGAAAAGAGAAAUAGAAAAGAUGAUUCAAGAUAAAUCGAUUAUGGUGCAAAACAUUGACAGUGAGAAAAGUUCUAGUCAUGCUGAUAUGCAAACCAGUGGCUAAGAUGUCAGGUUGAGCAAUUGAGAAGUCACCUCUCUCCUUACUAGGAAGAGGUCUGGUAAUUUAUUUUAUUUUACUUUCUGUUAUCCGAAUUGUUUUAGGGUUGUAGUUCGGGAUCUAUCUUGGUUUGUCCAUUUGUCGUUAUGUUCAAAUCCUUCUAUCUUUUAUUUUAAUUAAAUGAAGUGGCCCUUUUUCUUUGUGUUUUAAAUUUGUGUUGUUUGUUUGUUUUCUUUAUACAGUACAUUUUAUGUUGACUCUAGUGAUAUGACAUGCUUGCGGAAUUUUUAGCCAGAUCUUAAAAUCCAAUUUAAGCAUGAGCAUGGAAUUAGAGGGUUAAAGUUAGAAAAAGAAAGCAUAUGAGAAAAUAGAUAGAGUGCUGGGGCAUUUGGUGAUUAAGUUGAAGCCUUCUUUGAAAAUUAAGGCAAUUAUUUUGAGAAUCAUAAGAAUAAAUUGGUCAUCAAUUGAAAGACAUAUCUCAAUUAGGUCAAGUAGUGAAUGCGCGAUCCUAUAUUAAAAGUAACAGAGAGAAGAUCAGCUCCACGAAGCCAUGAGUCCUUUAGCAUGAGAAUGUACAUCGAAAGUGGAGUUGUAUGUUUGACAAGGGUAGAAGAACAAUUGGCACACACGUUCGGGGCAAGUUAGUGUUGUAAAACAUGUCAUAAGUGAUGUUGAUCGUGCACUUUCACAUUGCAUGCUAUGUACUAGUAUUUUCAAGGAUUGAUAUGACGAAGGUAUUUUAUUCUGUUAUCCAAACAUUAUGUCAUCCUUUGUUUACACCAUUGAGCCUUAGUUUUAUUUUCUUUCAUACCCCUCUUUUGGAAUCAAGAUACAGUCAACAAAGCUCAAAAAAUAAGUGUCGCGCAAAAGAAUAGAGUUAGAAAAAAAAUAGUUUCAAGAAAAUGUGUCAAAAAGAAGAAAAAGAAAAAGUGUCAAGUAAAAUAGAGUCGGAAAAGUACAAAAAAAGAGUCAAUAAAAGAAAAAUAAAGAAAAAGAAGAAAUCAGAAUCAGGCAAAAUAAGCUGCCAGAACUACGCGUGACCUGAUUCUCCUCUUUCGAGGGUGAGAUACGUAGGUUACCCUACUCUGGGCUGGGUCCAACCAAAUAAAUAGUUUAGAGUCACCUAGCCAAAGAAAUUGGGGCAUGGUUUAAUCCUCAUUGUUUGAGUCGAUUCCAAAAGUUGUAAAUCCUACCCUACUUCAAGUGUCGUUUGGGCCUCAUGUCAUCCUUUCUUUCUAACCCUAUCCAAAAGCCAAGGUACAAUCAAAGAAAAACCUUCAGAUCAAUCUUUGAGAAUGUUAAGGCUAAGCAUUCAAGGGAUAUGAUGAUGCAUUUUGGGAACUACUUGUCUUCCUCAGCAUAAGGAAUCAAGAGAGAAAUAAAAAUGAGAGAGUCUUAUUGGUGAAAACCCUCACGGGCACCAUAAGGCGAUAGUAAGUCGAGAGAGAUAAAAAUGAGAGAGUUUUAUCGGUGAAAACCCUCACGAGCACUGUAAGACGACUGUGAGUUAAGAAAAAUAUAAAUAAAAGAUUCUCAUUGGUGAAUAACCCUCACAGACACCAUAGGGAAAUAGUAAGCUGAGAGAAAUAAAAUGAGAGAGACUUGUUGGGGAAAACCUUGCAAGGUGCCACUAGCCGAAUGAGCUCUUCGAAUGCAAUGGGUCCAAGCAAGUAACUCAGUUUCAGGGUCAUUAACUCAAGAAUAACUGGUAGAAAGUUUUAAUAGAAAGAUCAGGCAACUUAAUCCAAAAUGCAUGGCAUAAUCAUUAGAAUUGACUGUCAUUUCUAGAUAAAUUUUUCAUUUCUUUAUUUCAAAUGGGGACAUUCACUGUCUUUUCUUUCUUUUCUUUAUAUUUACUUUAUUUUCUUGAGUCAGUUAUUCAAAUAGAAAAUCAUUGUCAUAUUUUUUUUUAGUCAAGUCCAUGUCAAAACGAGUGAGAAAAGAUUUCAAAACUGGCUAACAGCUUCCUCAACUGCAUAAAGCAAAACAAAAGGCCAACACAUGAAAGAGAUAUAAUUGUGAGCCGAAUAAGGCAUGUAGAAAGUUUUGUCAACAGACAAGUCUGGGAACUUAUGGAAAUAUCAUGGUUCAAAGGGUUUAUUUGAGAAGCAUGGCAAAGCAGAAAUACUGUGUUUGUUUCAGAGUCACUCUUAAUAAUCUGAGUUCGGAUCAAUGAUGCAGCGAGUCAAUGACAUAUGCUAAUGGUUAAAAGCAAGAUUAAUGUGAUCGGGGCAAGAGUGAUUGCCACAAAAGCUAAAGCCACAAAUUAGACACCAUGUUUUUAAACUAACAACUUUUCUUUUUAUGAAACAGGAACACAUGUUACCUUCGAAUCAAGGAUUUCAAAGCCUAAACAUCAAAAGUUGCAAUGCCUCACUUCCACAAAUUCAAGAGAUAAUAUUGUUGCAUAGGUUUGGUAAUCAAAACCAUGGUAAAACUCAUCAUCCAAUAACUCUAGGAGAUACACUACUUGUUUGGAUAAUUCAAGAGAUAUUUGUAAGGAGAUGCAUUUCCUUGUUUGGGUAAUUCAAGUGACAUUUGUAAGGAGACGUACUUCCUUGUUUGGGCAAUUCAAGCAACAUUUAUAAGGAGAC
rnacentral:lncRNA from 1 species